CCAGCAGGUGUGAGGGUGUACUGUGAGGUACAAGAGGGACAGUCAUGGACGGUGUUCCUCGCUCGUCACCAUCAAACUCCCAAUGAGAACUUUACACGGUCUUGGCAAGACUACAAGAAAGGCUUCGGGGACCCUGAAGGAGAACACUGGCUGGGAAAUGAGAACUUACACACGCUGACUGGUGGAGAGACACGUUACCGCCUGAGGGUGGAGGCCACCAACCUGCAGGGAGAACAACGAUAUGGAGAGUGGCGAGUGUUCCGUGUCGCUCCUGAGGACAACAGGUACCGGCUGACUGUGGAGCAGUACAACAGCAGUAGUACACUGGGUGAUGGACUGAACUACCACAAUGGCGAGUCGUUCACCACGGUGGACAGGGACCACGACACAUGGUCGGCAGGAAACUGUGCAGUGCACCAUGGUGGUGGUGGGUGGUGGUGG
rnacentral:lncRNA from 1 species